rnacentral:sRNA from 1 species
UCUCUAUCGAUUUUCUCCUUUUGCCUUUCAGAUUGAUUACACAGUACCUACCGUUAUAGCAGAGGAAAUGAGUUAUAUGUAUGAUUUCUGUACUCUGCUAUCCAUCAAAGUGCAUAACAUAGUACUCAUGAUGCAAGUUACUGUGACGACAACAUACUUUGGCCACUCUGAACAGAUAUCCCAGGAGAGGUAUCAGUAUGUCGACUGUGGAAGAAACACAACUUAUCAGUUGGGGCAGUCUGAAUAUUUAAAUGUACUUCAGCCACAACAGUAAAAACUGGAAGAGAUGGAUUUAAAGAAGAUAUAUCUGUUGAUAUUUCCUAUACUCUCAAUGAAGAGGUAUUUCUUAAUAGGAGACCUUAAAUUGAACAAACCUAAAGUUUACACUUCUAAGAGUACAGUUAAAAGUAUGUGGACCUGCAGUUCUUGUAACUCUCCACUCUGUGUUAAUGAUAUAUUUGUACUAGGAUCUUUUACUUGAAUCUAAAUUUACUGGUUGAUUUCCUUCUCCAGCCUUUCCCCUACAGGGAAAAGCUGAUACUUCCCCUAUAGUACAAUAAAUAAUUAUUAAAAGUCAUAGCUCCAGUCACUACUGAAAACAUAAUUUUGGUGAUAAACAUAAUUUGAGAAACUUAAUUUCUGAAUGUUUUUAUAGAAAAUUACUGAAAGUCUAUUAUUCAUGGAAGACUUUUAAAGAA